UACGAAGGGGGCUAGCGUUGCUCGGAAUUACUGGGCGUAAAGCGCACGUAGGCGGCUUUCUAAGUCGGGGGUGAAAUCCUGGAGCUCAACUCCAGAACUGCCUUCGAUACUGGAGAGCUCGAGUCCGGGAGAGGUGAGUGGAACUGCGAGUGUAGAGGUGAAAUUCGUAGAUAUUAGGACGAACACCAGUGGCGAAGGCGGCUCACUGGUCCGGUACUGACGCUGAGGUGCGAAAGCGUGGGGAGCAAACAGGG
rnacentral:rRNA from 1 species